GGGGCUAUAGCUCAGCUGGGAGAGCGCUACAAUGGCAUUGUAGAGGUCAUCGGUUCGAUCCCGAUUAGCUCCACCA
rnacentral:tRNA from 21 species